AUUCUACUCCCUCUGUUGCACAAUACAUGCCUUCUACUUGUCAAAAUAUAUAUGUAUCUAGAAAUGUUUUAGUAUAUAGGUACAUCCAUUUUUGGACAAAUGGAAGUCAAGUAUUUUGGAACGGAGGGAGUAAACA
rnacentral:pre_miRNA from 1 species